rnacentral:rRNA from 2 species
GUCGAACGAGCUUCCGUUGAAUGACGUGCUUGCACUGAUUUUAACAAUGAAGCGAGUGGCGAACUGGUGAGUAACACGUGGGAAAUCUGCCCAGAAGCAGGGGAUAACACUUGGAAACAGGUGCUAAUACCGUAUAACAACAAAAUCCGCAUGGAUUUUGUUUGAAAGGUGGCUUCGGCUAUCACUUCUGGAUGAUCCCGCGGCGUAUUAGUUAGUUGGUGAGGUAAAGGCCCACCAAGACGAUGAUACGUAGCCGACCUGAGAGGGUAAUCGGCCACAUUGGGACUGAGACACGGCCCAAACUCCUACGGGAGGCAGCAGUAGGGAAUCUUCCACAAUGGACGAAAGUCUGAUGGAGCAAUGCCGCGUGAGUGAAGAAGGGUUUCGGCUCGUAAAACUCUGUUGUUAAAGAAGAACACCUUUGAGAGUAACUGUUCAAGGGUUGACGGUAUUUAACCAGAAAGCCACGGCUAACUACGUGCCAGCAGCCGCGGUAAUACGUAGGUGGCAAGCGUUGUCCGGAUUUAUUGGGCGUAAAGCGAGCGCAGGCGGUUUUUUAAGUCUGAUGUGAAAGCCUUCGGCUUAACCGGAGAAGUGCAUCGGAAACUGGGAGACUUGAGUGCAGAAGAGGACAGUGGAACUCCAUGUGUA